rnacentral:rRNA from 1 species
CUACGGGACGCACCAGCUAGGCAUAAUCUACAAUGCGCGAAAGCGUGAUAGUUUGAGCCAGAGUGCGCCUCAUUGAGACGCUUUUGUGAAAUGUAAAAAGUCUCACGAAUAAGGACUGGGUAAGACUAGUGCCAGCCGGCGCGGUAAUACUAGCGGUCCAAGUCGCAGCCAUUUUUAUUGGGUCUAAAGCAUCCGUAGCUUGCUUUGUAAGUUUCUUGUGAAAUCUGAUGUCUUAAGCAUUGGGCGUGCAAGAAGUACUGCAGAGCUAGAGACCGGAAGGCGUAAGGAGUACGUUCGAAGUAACAGUAAAAUGUGUUAAUCUCGUACGGACUAACAAUUAGCGAAGGCACCUUACGAGGACGGUUCUGACAGUAAGGGAUGAAGGCUAGGGGCGCAAAACGGAUUAGAUACCCCUGUAGUC